rnacentral:rRNA from 1 species
GACGAACGCUGGCGGCGUGCCUAAUACAUGCAAGUAGAACGCUGAGGGAGGAGCUUGCUUCUCUGGAUGAGUUGCGAACGGGUGAGUAACGCGUAGGUAACCUGCCUGGUAGCGGGGGAUAACUAUUGGAAACGAUAGCUAAUACCGCAUAAUAGUAGAUGUUGCAUGACAUUUACUUAAAAGGUGCAAUUGCAUCACUACCAGAUGGACCUGCGUUGUAUUAGCUAGUUGGUGGGGUAACGGCUCACCAAGGCGACGAUACAUAGCCGACCUGAGAGGGUGAUCGGCCACACUGGGACUGAGACACGGCCCAGACUCCUACGGGAGGCAGCAGUAGGGAAUCUUCGGCAAUGGACGAAAGUCUGACCGAGCAACGCCGCGUGAGUGAAGAAGGUUUUCGGAUCGUAAAGCUCUGUUGUAAGAGAAGAACGAGUGUGAGAGUGGAAAGUUCACACUGUGACGGUAUCUUACCAGAAAGGGACGGCUAACUACGUG